CACCCUCUCUGAAGGAACCAGGCUCAAAUUGGAGACCCUCAGGAUCCCAGCACUGCACACAAUAUGUUGGCAUUCAAGGAGAUGGAAGAAGAAUGGCUGUGACAGAAAUUACAAGCUUCUUUCAAGUUGUUGUUCAACAAGGCCCACCACCUCUGGAUGGGAUGACAUCUACACCAGGUCUAACAGUUCUCAUACCAAGGAUUCUGUUGUGUUUGGUGCCUUAUCCUUUGUCAGUGAUGUAAAUACAGAGUGCAUUGAUAAGAACUU